rnacentral:sRNA from 1 species
UAAUAAUUCCAUCAAUAGAUAUAGUGCGUGGCUGCUUGCAGACAAAGCACUAUAUCUAUUGGAUGGAUAAACAGGCAUGAGCAAGUAAUGGUUCUGCGAAGCUGAACCUAUGAAUUGCGAAUGACUGUUGUGAUUUCGACAGUUCGCAGAACGGAGAAAUCACUAUUAUUA